GGCUCCUGACUUGGGACAGGCGCAAAAUUGCGGCGGGGUUAAACAUGUUUAUGAGAUCUCAACCCUCCCCCUAUACCUCUAGCCAAUGUAGAAAAGUAAAAGAAUAACAAUACGCACAUUAAAAUUCAGUUCAAGAGAAGUCCGAGUCUGAUGUCAAAAGAUGUAACAAAAGAAAAUAAAUAAAAUGACAAUAAUACAUAAAUAACAACAGACUACUAGCAGUUAACUGACAAGCCAGCUCCAGACCUCAAUUAAACAU
rnacentral:lncRNA from 1 species